rnacentral:pre_miRNA from 1 species
UUUUUGGUAUAAAUAUGUUCCAUGCAAUAUUUGGGAUAUACAUAUACCCAAA